CAGUAGCCGCGGUAAUACGUAGGGUGCAAGCGUUAAUCGGAAUUACUGGGCGUAAAGCGUGCGCAGGCGGUUAUAUAAGACAGAUGUGAAAUCCCCGGGCUCAACCUGGGAACUGCAUUUGUGACUGUAUAGCUAGAGUACGGCAGAGGGGGAUGGAAUUCCGCGUGUAGCAGUGAAAUGCGUAGAUAUGCGGAGGAACACCGAUGGCGAAGGCAAUCCCCUGGGCCUGUACUGACGCUCAUGCACGAAAGCGUGGGGAGCAAACAGGAUUAGAUACCCCCGUAGUCCCUGUCUCUUAUAU
rnacentral:rRNA from 1 species